rnacentral:lncRNA from 1 species
ACCCGGUCCACAGGUUCCCUCUGUCCUCGGGCACUCUGAAAGGUUUCCGAGUCAAUCACGGAGCUCAGGAUCCAAGAACUACCUCUUGAUAUGGGCGAACCCUUUGGAAUUCUGUGUGGAAGGGUGAAUGCCCAAUCAAGCGCCGGAACUCCCUGCCUGAGCACCAAAGGAAGGCUGUACAGAGAGCCCAUGCCAUUCGCCACCUCAGACUUAGAGAUGAGUACCAGCUUUGGAAAGGCAAACAGUCAUCGAUGGAGCUAACAUUUGCUGAGCAAUCGGCCCAUGUUCAGCCUCAACAUCUAGGAAUGAAUGAUGUCAUUAUCACACGGCCAGGACUCUCAAGAAGUCCAUGGAGAGAAACCAAGACGAGGGACCCCCAACUGGUAUCAAACAGCAUGGAAGUGGACAUCCGAGUCUCCGAAAAAAACUUCAGCCAACAGCAGCCUCCUGAAAGCCCGUAGGCAAAAUUACCCCAAUCCUGACCUUAAUACAGAUGGUGAGAGAUGCUAGGGUUGGUCACUAGCUUGGAGAGCAAUUUGCUAAUUCCCAGUAGAGAAGUGCUGUUGGGAGCUAUAGGAACGGGACCUAGGAUUGGGGAGUAGGGAGUAACAACAGAGUCACGUGAUGAAUCCCGGGACUCGGACUCCAGAGACCAGCAUCAGGGUCCAGAUCUGAGUUUAUUGGGCAGUGCAUAAGCUUAUAGACCGGGUUCCAGCCAAGCCCAAGCCCAAGCCCAAGGCCAAGCCCCUAAAUCCUCGGCCAAUCAUAUCUCGCCACAUUGUCACCAUGCCCCAGGAC